ACACAUCGCCCGUCACCCUCCCCUAGUCUAAAGAAAUUUACACUAAUAGUAAAUAUCGCCAGCAAAGGGGAGGCAAGUCGUAACACGGUAAGUGUACCGGAAGGUGUACUUGGAUAAAUCUAAAUGUGGCUAAAUAGAAAAGCAUCUCUCUUAC
rnacentral:rRNA from 1 species